rnacentral:tRNA from 1 species
UGAUAGCUCAGCUGGAUAGAGCAACUGCCUUCUAAGCAGUAGGUCGGGGGUUCGAGUCCCUCUCA